CGAUCUUAAAUAAAAUUAAAUUCUAAUGAAACUAUUGAUAUUUACUUGAAUUAUUCCUUUUUUGUGUGUUACACGUUUUAAAUUAUAUCAAAUAACGAGUAACACUUAAAUAAUUACAGUUUAGUACCCUUUCAAGAUAAGAUUUAUAUCACUAGGGACAAACUAUCACAUGGAUGUGUAUAAUUUGUAAAGGCUUUAAUUGCUAUCAUUAAAUGAUGCAGUGCAUAUGAAGUAUACUGUAAUUAUUUGUUUCGAGUAAACUGGAUUACUUGCUCUUAGAAUAAGUGCACGUGAUUAUUUGGUGACAGUUUAAAGACAAGAUGAUGUGUUCAAAGAUAAUUGUUCAGAUCUAUUUGACUCUAAUGAUGAUAUUACUGAUUUUCAUCAUUUAUUCCGAAGCUGCUUCAAGAGGGGUUUGUAAAAGGCCGACACCCACUUCAGCACCACCAGCACCACCAGAUCCUGAUCCAACAACACAAGCAACACCUUAGACCUGAUAGAUCCGAAUAACAAUAAUAUUCUAGUGUACAAUUUUUAUAUGGUAGAGAAGGUAUUAUUAUCUUCUGAGACUUUUUACAUAGAUUUUUUUCAUUUACAUAAGAUUGACAAUUUUACGAUGCAACCUUCAUCCUUCAUCAUACUUUGAUGAAGAAAACGUUUUAAGGGCGCUUAUACAUUAUCUAUUAUGGAAAAUGCAGUUUAUCAGAAGACAUACUACGGAAUUAUUCCAACGCUUAGCAAACUUAACUACCCUGGUUGCCCUCCCUAUGUUCCCGGACAUUGCAAAGACAAUGUUGAUCUUAAAAUAUAUUCGUAAAAUAUUCUGAGGAUGUUUUAACACCAUGGUUGGACGUGUUUUAUUGCAUACUUGAUUUUAGUUUAUUAUUUUCAUAAUUUCUAGAUACGUUUUACUGAGAAUAUGAACAUUCUCUAACAUAUUUUAUCAAAAUCUUCUCUAGAAUAUCAGAUUAUUUCAGAACAUGCAAAUAUGUUUAAACGAAUAACAAAAACUAAUACAAGGAAAAACUCACAAAGAGUAGCAAAUGUUCUAAUAAAAGUAUAACAUCUCUUACGGCUUCUUGCAUCGACUUUGAAUUAAAAGCUAUGUGUCUGUAUCAUAAUUUGAAUAAUGUGGACAUUUCUGUUGAAAUUUGUGGGGCAUGACAUAAGCAUAGGGCUUAUUUUUCUUUCAUCAUUUGUGAAACACACAUGGUCUG